UUCCAUUUUGCCAUAUCUCUUAAUUCUCUCUAUUUACAUAUCUCUCCCUCCAUUUUCUCCGAUUGAUCGCCGGGAAAUCGAUUUCCGAUCACCGUCCUCCAUGCCGGCAAAUCAUGGAUCAUCCCUCCUAUAUACAUGUUCAGUUUCUGUUCUCUCUACGAUUCGUUGAAUAGAUCCGCAUUUGAAAAUUGACACAUUGCGAGAAUCAAG
rnacentral:misc_RNA from 1 species